UAAGGGCACAUGGGGGAUGUCUUGGCGUUAGGAGGAGAAGGGCGUGGAAGUCUGCGAAAAGCCUGGGGAAGUUGACACACAAGCGAUGAUCCCGGGGUUCCCGACCACAGCACACUGAAUACAUAGGUGUGUAUGUAACAACCUGGUGAACUGAAACAUCUAAGUAACCAGAGGAACAGAAAGAAAAAUCGAUUCCGUCAGUAGCGGCGAGCGAAAUCGGAAUAGCCCAAACCGAGGAGGUUUCCUUCUCGGGGUUGUAGGACUUCAAUAUGGGAUUGAGACGUGUUAGUGAAACGACUUGGAACGGUCGGCCACAGAGGGUGACAGCCCCGUACGCGAAAAUAUUGUCUCACCUUAGAAGCACCUGAGUAGGUCCAGUCACGUGAAACCUGGACUGAAUCCGCGGGGACCAUCCCGUAAGGCUAAAUACUCUCUAACGACCGAUAGCGAACCAGUAGCGUGAGUGAAUGGUGAGAAGAACCCCUGCUAGGGGAGGAAUGUGAACCUGAAACCAUGUGCCUACAAGCGGUCGGAGCACUAUUUUAAUGUGUGACGGCGUGCCUUUUGCAUAAUGAUCCGGCGAGUUGUGGUAAUCGGCUUGGUUAAGUUCUGACGGAACGAAGCCCAAGGGAAACCAAGUCUGAAUAGGGCGUUGGUCGAUUGCUGCAGACGCGAAACCUGUGUGAUCUACCCAUGGGCAGGUUGAAGCGCGGGUUAAACUGCGUGGAGGACCGAACCCACUUAGGUUGAAAACUGAGGGGAUGACCUGUGGGGAGGACUGAAAGUGUAAUCAAACCAGGAGAUAGCUCGUUCUCUCCGAAAUAUCUUGAGGG
rnacentral:rRNA from 1 species